rfam:Picea glauca, whole genome shotgun sequence.
AUGUAAAUUCUUAGAGCAUAGCGUUAAUGCACCAAAUCCCAUUAUAACUCCACGGUUAAGCGUGCUCGGGCUAGAGUAGUAUUGGGAUGAGCGAACACCCGAGAAUUCCUAGUGUUUUACAUG